CAGCCGCCACGGUAAUACGAAGGGUGCAAGCGUUACUCGGAAUUACUGGGCGUAAAGCGUGCGUAGGUGGUUGUUUAAGUCUGCUGUGAAAGCCCUGGGCUCAACCUGGGAAUUGCAGUGGAUACUGGGCAACUAGAGUAAGGUAGAGGAUAGUGGAAUUUCCGGUGUAGCAGUGAAAUGCGUAGAGAUCGGAAGGAACAUCUGUGGCGAAGGCGACUAUCUGGGCCAUUACUGACACUGAGGCACGAAAGCGUGGGGAGCAAACAAGAUUAGAUACCCCCGUAGUCCCUGUCUCUUAUAC
rnacentral:rRNA from 1 species